AUUUCAAAACAAAAAUGGCGGCCAAAAUCACUAUUUGUAGAUUUAAUUCACAAGUAAGGUCAGUAAGUACUAAUCUGGCUUCUAUUGGAGCUUUUUACAAUGGGCUUCGGUGGGAAAUUUGACGAAUUAGUUUACCGUGUAAUUCAAGUGUAAAUGGUCUAGAAAUUCAAUGCGUUUAAAUGAGUUUUAAGUUGAGUUUCAGUAAAACGUGGUGUUAUGAAAUUUUAUUGUAGGAUCCAUUGCAUAGAACUGAUAACAUCUUAAGCAAAGGCAAAAAGUGGUUAUGCCACAAAGAUGAUAAGAGCGGGAGAUUAGAGGCAGAGCUUCAUCUACCUCAAUCUAUAAAGAUUGGGUUCCUAAAUCUUGGUAUGUAUAGUAUAUGUUAAUAUUAGUAUUUGGGCUAUUUUAAAGGGCCUGCAGUUUAUCUGUUUAGUCCCGUAAGCGAGAUCUCCCUGUGUAGUUAUUUUCAUAGUAAAAGUUAUUGUGCAUUUAUAUGGACAAGCGGCCUGUCCCGGUUGCCAAGAUCUCGCUUGAAAGAGGCGAGAUCUUGCUUACCGAGAUGGAAAUUUCUCCAUAUAAACACUCACCUAUAAACACUCAAAAGCUGAAAAUGACACAACGUGACACUGGGAAUAUAAAGUCAAAGGUCAAUGAGACUUGUUGUUGUGAAACUAGCCUGCGUGUCAGGCCCUCAAUUUUAUGGGGGGCCUGCCCGCUGCAAAUCAGGCCCCCCAUAAUAUCGAGGGCCUGCCACGCAGGCUAUUGUGAAACAUGUCACAAUUAGGUUAAAAUGCGGAAGUGGAUGGCGCGGAUCAACGGAACGGAUAUGGGGAUAAAAUACGGAACGGAUGGGGAUAAAAUGCGUCCGUUUAAUGAUGCAACGUCGUAGUGCUUAUUAUUCAUAACAUAUCUAAUACAGCUAAUAGUCAAAUGUGCAAUAUGGGUGCUAAAAGGAUGAUGGGAAUAAUCACAGUUUUAAAUAAGUUUAGCAUGUCAGUAGCCUCGUGGGGAUGCUUUUGCAAAUGCAAAUGAAGUUUUAGAGUAUGCAAAAUUUGGUUGUUGGUGAAACAAUUUAAAUUUCGAGUUGUCGGCGUCUAGCAUCACAUUAAAUAAAUAAAUUGUAUCAGUUCCACGAGGCACGACGUUUCUGAUGUGUCAGACUUGUUUCAAACGUCGCGCUACUCAUGUGCCGAACGUAUUAAAAACAAUAGAUAAUCAGAUGAAAUGCCUUUGGCAACUGUGUAUUUCGUAGUGUAAGUGUCGUCGACCCUGUAUAGUUCUUGCAGUGUCUUCUUCGAUUUGGAUCCUCUAUCUAUUACUAUCCUUGGAUCCCUAGUUCUUAUACAGUAAAAGAUUAUCGGCCAGAAACUUCGCAACGGUCCACAUGAGGACAAAGAUGGAAGAAUAUUCCAGAAUAUAUAUUCCGUGAAAUCUUGUUGGGUGCCUCGCAAGUUGCAGACCCAAAUAGAACACAAUAUCCCUCUGAAGAAUUUCAAUACUGCACGUAGCUAUAACUAACUAUUAUUGCAAGCUUGUGUGGGAGUACAGACAUUCUAUCUGUAGGAAUUGAAAGGUUUUGCCGCCCUUUCUCUGAACAAAGAAAAUUAAAAACAAAAUACUUCAGCUGUUUAUUAUAAAAAAAAUACUUAAGCCUUUUACAACGUAAGUACAGAAGCUAUAGGAAACUUCAGCCUGUAUAUUGUCAGUUCUAAACUCCUCUCUAAAGGUUCAGUAAGGAGUACCAGUACCAGUAAGGCACAAGUCAAGUUUCGCAAAGCUUAAUGAGAGCACAAGUUUCAAGCUUAGUAGUUGAAUAUUGCAGCUAUUUGUGCAUAAAUUGUUCUCGUAAGGAGAUAUCUACCACGUCUUCAAGAAAUGGGCCCCAUACUGCUUUCUGAACUGAUUAAUAAGCAUAACUGUUCCCGUUAUGCUUUGCACGCUUAGAGUUUAAGGUUUAGAGUUUAAGGUUUUUCGAAGGAAAACUUUUUUUGAAUUAGCUGUCAAGCUACAUGGUUUGAAAUAUUUCAUCAUUUUUAACCUUUGACGAGACUAUACUACCUUAUACUAGUAUAUACCAGACUAUAUUAUUAUUUUACUCCCUUGCAUAAUGCCAUAUAUUAGUUUAAUUUACAUAUCUCGCGAACGAAAAAAGAUAAGCUAGAAAAGUUGUCCAGUGAAGUUAGAGUGAACUUAUUUUACAGUUUUACAUGCUCUUUCUGCCUAAAACGCUGACUUGAAUUUCGUUGCCAUUGCAGUAAACUCUCCUGUUUUCAUGGCCAUGCAUGGGCAAAUAUCACAGAAGACAAGGCAUUGUAUACUGGAGCAAUUACGCCAACAUUGAGGCAAUUACGCCAAAGCUAAAUAUAGAGUUAAAGAGUUUCGAAAUAUUUUUAUUUGUCGCAAUUUAGAGUCUAGAAGGACCUAGUCACGCUUUCAAGCAUUUUGUGGGAUUUUUUUUCAAUAAUUAAUGUAUUGUGUUUUUUAAAGAUAUUUCGUUAUCUCGAUACCAUUGUGAUAAAGUACAUUAAUAAGAUUCUUGACCUUGUAGGUUUGCAUGGUAAAAAAAAAUAUAAUUGGGCCCCAAGAUCGUUGCUAUAAUAAUUUAGCCUAAUACAUUGCAUUGGUGCAGAUCCAUGCAGGCUUACAUAUCGAAAGCUAGUAAUACAAAAUAAACGUGAUGUUUCCACAAAUACCAAACAAAUAUAUUUCCGGCAUGCAAUCAUACAAGCCUUUCGCUGCGAAAUUGAAACUCAUACAUUGAGUUUAUAUUAAAUGAAGUAAUCUAGUUUAGUGUCUUCUUACACUGCACCUCGACGAAGAACAGGUUAAUCACUGACUGACUAAUGCAGAUGAAAUCCAAAACAAAAUGAUAUCACGAAUGUUGACAACGAAGAAUUUAGUAUAUUUUGCAAGAAUAUCAAUGUUAAGGAGUAAGGACAAAUAGAAGAUCUAAAUUAAACAAACUAGUAUCAUCUAGUAUAAAUAAAUUGAGUCCAGUUUAAGUUUCGUCCGGUAUAUAGUUAUAAUGAAAAACUAUAGACCUCUGUGAGAACAUGCAGUCUACAAUAAAUAUAGUUAUCCCGAAUAACUAAACUUAUAAUCGAUUUUAUUCAAUUUAGCCUGAUGUAAUUAGGGACGGACGAUUUGAGUNNNNNNNNNNNNNNNNNNNNGGGGGGGGGGGGGGGGGGUAGAAUCCCCCAAAAAUAUCGGGCAAGCAAUUCGAGCUUAAAAAAAUAUCGUGCAAGAAUAAACAGACAAAAAAAAAUAUCGAGCAAGACUUUCGAGUGGUAAUCCUUAUUUGCCAUUCGGUGCAUUUCCGCGUGUAGCCCAGGGCCGUAUGUAGCAACCGGGAGGCUACAGGGUCCAGGAAAUGACAUUUCAGCCGACUCUAAAUUUAAAAAUUUCAAUAACUACAAUAAAUAAAGCUAUCCCGAACAACUAAACUUAUAAUCGAUUUCGUUCAAUUUAGCCUGAUGUAAUUAUAGAAAUUGACGUUUCUGCGAAAUAUGCAUGGCGCGGCUCGCUGCUGUAAUAGUGAGUUUAAGAUACCCCGGUUUCGCUGGUGUACGGGUACUUGUAGUGUCAUCCUGUUGGCUAGAUGUUACUGAUGUCCGUAAUUCAAUCAUAUACUUUUUCUGUUUUCUUGCAAUAGACAAUGAUAUAAUGCGAAACAUGUGCACCUUAAUUACGAGUAAAGGUACAAACAUGGACGAAAAUAUUGCUAACCAAAAUCAUGCUACCCGUACACCGAAACCGGGGUAUCUUAAACUCCCUAUUGAUGUGUGAUUCGCACGUUUUUGGUGCCUCGCACGUCUCGCACCUUAUGCAGACCCAAGGUUAUUGAUACUUUCAGAUAAUAACGAUAAUAAAUUGACAGUUUCAACACUGCAUAGUAAGCCAUUUUGUAUUUUGCGUAAGAACGGAUCUAUAUAAUUUACAAACUCCAGUUCCGCGGACUUCCUCUUGUGCAGAAAAGACCCUGGUGGACGCUGGUCACGCGAUCUGCUAAAAUCUAGCAGAUUUCUAAUCAACUAUCUUGGAUUCCUUUACGACAAUCAUAGAAAAUGCAAAUUAUAAAUUAAACUAUAAAAAUCAUACAAAUAUCAAAUAUUUAUUGACCUCGUCUUGGAUUACUAAUUAAAAAUCUGCUCGAUUUUAGCAGAUAAAUUGACCAACGUCUACCAGGGUCUUAUUUUCUCCUUUCGCUAAGAGGAAAGACCUUCGGUACGAGGUUGAUAGCCUGACUCAAUGACAAAUUUACUAUGCUUUAUUAAUUUUAUUUUUGUGAACUGGCAGCCAAUCUUCAAAAGGAGCUUAUGAGUUAUGGAAUAUACUCAACAAUUUUCCAUUACCGAGUGAUUAUUUCUUCUCCGUAAACCGCCUACCCUGGAUUCCAGAGCCUUAGACAGUAAAUAGACAGAUUUAGAUCGAGGACGCAGACGUCAAAGACGACGUGAAAAUGGCGUCAAAAUGGCGUGGCAUAUCCAUACAUGGGCACAACACGCCAUUUUCACGUCGUCUUUGACGUCCGCGUCCUCGAUCUAAAUCGGUCUAUUAAUAAAUGGAAACGUCGCGAAGGCUCUGGUUCAACGGGGGAGAUUCUUUGAUUAAACCGCGCCAAUCACAAAACAGAAUUAGUGGUUUUAGUACAGAAUCUAUACUAAAACCACUAAUUCUGUUUUGUGAUUGGCGCGGUUUAAUCAAAGAAUCUCCCCCGUUGAACCAGAGCCUUCGCGACGUUUCAAUUUAUUAUUUACUGUCGAAGACUCUGGAAUCCAGGGUAUAAACCGCCACGAAAACUUGAGAUAUAUCCGAAAACCGGCAUCUCAAAAUCGCCCAAACCGCCUAAUCAAUUGUUUUUAAGGUCUGUGAACACGAAUAUAUGAAUAUUGCCCCCCCCCCCCAAUUAUCGAGUUUGCUACGCCACUGCUCCGCGUGACAUUUUUGGAACAAGGUUUAUGAAUUUUUAAUGAGUUUUGUUAAGGUAUAUAUAGAGGACACCAUAAUCCACACAGCAUC
rnacentral:lncRNA from 1 species